rnacentral:lncRNA from 1 species
UAAGUGCGGUUAUUUCUUCCAACCGUCGUGGUUGUUUUGAAAAAAAACUCUUAACUUUUUCAUAAUCAAUCCGCAAUCCUUGUAUAUGGAAAAAGAAAACAGGAGGUCGAUGGGAUCCCGUCUACACGCACACGCUCAACUUCCUACGCGGCUCCGGACAUGGCAAGAAAUCGAUCCGAACACGAAGCAGAAAAGGCAGAGAGGAUUCAAGAUAUAAAAUCGACAGGGAACCAUCAUCAAGAAUAGGUUGAGCGAAUCCGCGCACCAUGAAAGAGAACAAGGCAGGGAGGUCAAUGCGCCGAAACGAGUUCGCUCGUGGGGCUGCUCGCCAUCGCAGCGCGAGCGUCUGCCCGUCCACCGCACCGGGCCAUGGCCCCGAGGCGGCGAGGUGCCU